ensembl:lncRNA
UUUUUUUUUGUUUGUUUUAAGGUGCAGUGAGAGUCACCAAUGAAGUGACAGAAGACAUUGAAUCUAUGAACCGGAACAAGUCAGAAUAAUGAAACACUGAAGGAAGAAGAGAGAAAGCUCCAAAGUUAAGAAUGUGAUGGAUACAAGUUCACAAAGAUUGGGAGGCUGAGAUCUUCUCCAAGAAAAAACAUCCAAAAAGGCGAAGACGUGGAAAGCGAGAAAUGAGAAAAAGCAGCAGACGAGUGCACGGGGCCAGCAUCUGAAUAACAAGUUUCGGAGGACAGGAAAACGGGGCAGGAAAACAAGCCCCGCACCAGGGCGAGCUUUCCUGAUGCCUGAAAAGACGACCACGACCCGAGUCUAAAAGGCCCAGGACGGGAAAGCAGGCGGGAGGGCAGGUCGCCCUCUCCAGCGGGAGGCCGGCUGCUGCUUCCCAGCCCCCGGGCCAGAGCUUUCCAAGCCGAAUUCCACACUCAGCCACAGCUGACGUGGGGCAGAGUGAAGACCUGGUCGGGUCCCAGAUACGGACACUCUCCAUCAGGAAGCCCCUGGAGAGGGUUCCCCCCAAAUGAGAGACUAAAACCACAGACCUCCGGAGACCCCAGAGCAGGAGAGACGGAGAGGGAGGCCCCAGGAUGAUGGGGAAGGGGCCGGGUGGCGGGGGGGGGCAGCGGGGACCUGGGCCUGGCAGUGGCCACUCAGACCAGAGCAGAACACGAAGACCAGAAGGGGUGAUGCCAAGAAAAGAUGACCCGGCCUAUCUGACAGGUUCCCACGUGUUAAGGAAGAGACUGACCUUGCCGGAGGAGAGUUGAGGGGUAAAUUAGGUUCCUAUUUAUGUAGUCAGAGCCAUCAAGGCUGAGUACUUGAAAAUCGACGGAGCCAAAAUGGGGACCCGUCUACUGUGAGAAGUGAAGAGGGGAGGGAAGCCUUCCGUGAGCCUGAGCACGGCCUGGCUCAGGGCAGCCGGAGCCCGCGCCCGGCACAGGAAGCCCAGCCUCUCAGGCAGCAGGCCCCGGUGGGCUGCGGGAAGCGGAGCGCGGUGUGCUCGGCACUGGUCCGGCAACACCAAGCCUUAGAGAGUUCUGACGGAACAUGAAACCUAAGUGUUUUGAAAGGAAGCAAGCAUUCGAAAACAAUGACUACCUUUAGACAGUUUUUGUUUUAAAAUGAAAUCCAUUCAAAAUGUACUUUUGUGUGUGUGUGUACCUCGAGCAAUUUUACACUGUGAUAACCGUGAGAGCCACGUGGAAAAGCAUUAAUUCUGCCUUAGCACUGUUUUCACUCCCAGACCUCUCUCAUCCGUGACCGCCUUUCCAAUGGCUGAACCUGGACGUUUGGCCCCCGGCUGGCUUGGAGAUGUCACGGGCAGGAGGAGGCUGCGGGCCGGAAAGCCCCGCCUUGGACGCCCGCACACCGGGGCCAACCUUGGCCCCCACUUGCUGGAGUCUGGGGCCCACUGGGACCUCAGGGCACCUGUGCAGCAGGCAACUAGGAGCCUGGAGCAUCGAGUUCUUUUUUCCUUGUCACCCAAGAUCCUUUAUCAGAUUGUUCUGGCUUUGCUUUUGAAACGCUUGCGGGUGCAUGUUCUGUACGUCUAUCUGAUGUUUUUCUCCAAAUUUCCUAUUCCUAUCAUCUACCUACAAGCCAGUGCCACGUGUGUUUUAUACGAACACCUACGUUAGAAAUUCAGUCAAUGGCUCCGCUCUGUUCCAAACCGCAUGACAGAGGAUGGGGAGCCACUGGGCCCCGAUUCCCAAAGCCGCAGCUCAGCUGCCCUGCAGAAAAGGACACGGCCGACGACACAAGGGCUCGAACCUGCUGCCGAGGAAGAAACACCUACUGGGAAACCGUCUUCGCGCCCUUGGCCAAGAAAACAGAACUCAGAGCCCAACAGGUCAGUCACAGGGCACAUGGCCCGUCCCACUCCUGCCUGUCGCGGUCACGGGCGAGCAUAACCAGAGAUGCCCUGCAAGAACUGGGGGGUCUACAGGCUCUCGGUCUUCUUCAGAAGGUGCCAGAAAUGGUUCUCACCCUUUGGGGGUAAUCGAGGAGCACAGAAGGGGUCCAUUCUGGAUUAAAUUGGCCCCUGCGGAGGCCGAGCAAGGGACGAGAGACAUGCAAAUAACCACUAGUCCCCAUCGCCACCAAGAAUCGCGCGGCUUCAUCAGAAGGAGCCUUUGGCCGUCUGGAUCCAAGAGGACUUCCACUCGGCAGUGCCUCCUCUCUGCAGCAAGGGUGCCACCACAUAUUAGAGGCCAGAGGUGCCAAGUACCGCAUGACACGUUUCUCCUCUGCCCACUGAACACUCGAUGUGGAAGCUUCUCGCACCCAGAAGCAGGCUUGUGCCUUAAAAAUACAUGAGUCAAACUGCUCUUUUUUCAAAGGGCGGAAAAAGUCUCUAGGGAAAAGCCUAAAAGGAAUAAAAGCAGUAAACAACACGUGGUUAUGCACCCUGUGACCCAGACGGCCCAGGCAUCGGUCCUGACACCGUGACACAGGACACGACGUCUGGGUCACCCCUGUCACGCUUUCACUAGAAGGCGGUCUCUCCUGGUGAGCUGCCAACACCACAUCCUCUCCUUGACUUUUUCGUGUUGAGACACUGAGGACAGUGUAUCCAGCACUGGCCCUGGCAGAGCCCUGGUAGGUCCCCGGCAGAGUCAGAACUCUCACCCCACCUCGGCACAGGGCAGGCAGGUGAAGUGUCCACGGCCACGCCGCUUGGACAGCAGGAGCCCAGAUCCAAGCCAGGCGGGCCGGCAGGGCGGGCGCGCCGAGGACCCGGCCCCGGGCGUGCAUUCAAAACGCCGCGUCUGUCCCCGUCCAGGGCUCGACAGGUGCUACGGCACUGGGGGCAAUGCUACGUCCCCGAGCGGCGGCUGGGGCGGGCACCGUCAUCAGAAGGGCAUCAAGUCCUCUCCCAGUGGCUCAGGGGACUCGCGGUGAAGGAUGGGGCUGCAAGCUGCGGCGAGUCCCUCGUUCCUGGACGACAUCGACGUGCGGGGACCAGCCUCCUCGGCCAACAGCCCAGCCUGCAGCCCGACUUCUGGUCUCCAGCUCCCACCCGACCACUGGCCCCGCCACUAGGACUUCCGCGUCUUGUUCCAAUCUGCUGUGUCAACGUCCUGGGACCUUGAAAGGGGGACCGUUGAUCCUAUCAGAACUGCGUAAAAGGAGCAAGGGCGGCCUGGGAGAGGCCCCGGGGCCUCCCUUGCCCAAACACGCAGACUGCGUGCACCAGUCCCUGGCAGCCUGGCCCACGGCCUGCCACCUCUGUUCUGGAAAGCUCGACCGGGACGAGAAGGGAGGAGUCCCUCCAUUAAAAGGGGAAUUAAAUAAAACCAACCGUCCCUUUACAAAGCUCUAGACCAGCGCACCUCAAACCUGAAUAUGCAUGUGAGUCACCUGGGGAUCUCAGAAAAUUGUGGAUUCUUGCUCAGUCUGGGGUGGGGCCUGAGGUUGUGUGUUUCUAACAAGCUCCCAGAUAAUGCUGAUGUGGCUGGUCGGUGGACCACUGGAGUACCCGGAUCUAGGCUGGAACAAGGCCUUCCGGCAGAAAGGUGCUAUCGCCACAGGGGCCAUUUCUAACCGUUCCGGCAGCCCCAGGUCUAGCCAGCCUCCUCUACUCCCUGCCCACCCCACCCACACCAGGGUCAGAGCCAGUAGGUCUCAGCUCACAAUUAGAGCUGGACACAGACGGUACCUCAAACAUAAACAGACAGGACAAUGAUCCCCUAAGCACCCACCUCCAAGCUUCAACACUGAUCAAUCCAUAGCCAGUCUGUACCGUACCCCGACUCUUGCUUUUAAAAAUACCAGUGAGGGUCACUUUACUGCACAGCAGAAAUUGACAGAACAUUGUAAAUCAACUACAAUAAAAUGAACACACACACACACACACACACACACACAAAAUAAAAAAUACCAGUGCCCACUCCAGACGAGCAGAAUUGGAAUCGCUGCGGGGGACCCCUCCCCCAGGGGAUCCCAAAAUGCAAAGAAGGCUGAGCAAUAACCCCAGAGGGAGGCAGCCAGGAGAUCAGGUGUGAUGCCAAGAGCUCCCUGAGGGGCCUUACUGCACCCUGGCCUAAGCCCUCUGUCCUGGGGCACAGGCCUCUCACCAAACUCCGCCCACCAGCUGUGACUUUAACUGGUCUCCCCAGGGGCGAGGGAUCAGUUCACACCCUGGGGCCUAGGCGACCACAGGUCACAGGGGAAAAUGGCCAGGAGGAGAGUAAACACUAGAAGAGACAGACCGACUAGUCCAACAACCUGCAGAGAGGAGCGGAGUUAAGGAUCAAGAACAUAAAAUGAGCAGUCAAACCCGCAGAGCCAAGAGCGGCUGGUGAAACGGGAAAUGGGACAGAGGGACUGACAGACGUUAGAAACUGAUGGGAAAAAGUAAACAUAUGGACGGGUCUUAAUUUCGGGAAUAUUCCAGAUUCUGAAUGUCAGAAGAAGAAAACAGAUCACACAACUUUAAAAUUCAGCAGAGGAAAAUUCAACCCAAUACGACAUUACAAGAAAAGAUACCCCUCCCCCCAAAAAAGAAAGCAUAAAAUAAAAUUGCAGAAGUCCUAAUAUAAUCAUAUGUAUCAUAAAUGUUCACCCAUCAAAUGUACUAAUCAGACACACUCUCAACCUGGGUUUAAAAAACAAGAUCCUGGAGUUCCUGUCUUGGCUCAGUGGUUAACGAAUCCAACUAAGAACCACGAGGUGGUGGGUUCAAUCCCUGGCCUUGCUCAGCGGGUUAAGGAUCCGGUGUUGCUGUGAGCUGUGGUGUAGGUCGCAGACGCGGCUCGGAUCCCGCGUUGCUGUGGCUCUGGCGUAGGACGGUGGCUACAGCUCCGAUUAGACCCCAGGCCUGGGAACCUCCAUAUGCUGUGGGAGUGGCCCUAAAAAAGACAAAGAGACAAAAAAAAUAAAUAAAAAAUAAAAAUAAAAAGCAAGACCCUGCAUCAUCUAUCUAUAACAGACACAUGUGAAGCAAAAGGAUAUAGAAAGCCUGGAAACAAAGAGGAAAAGUUUUACUGGGCAAACAGAAACUGAAAAUGAAGGGAAAAAAAGGGGCGGGGGGAGAAUAAUUGUAACAUCAAAACAAACAGAAUUUAUGGUGGAAAAACACCAUAAAGGAUGAAGAAAGAGUCGGGCACGUGCUCCAGACAAGGGAACACCCAAUCGGGAAGAUAGAAAACCACCGUCAUGUGUGUACCUAACAAUACAGCCUUGCGGUAAUACAAUGGAACAGCUGUCAAAACUAUAGGCAAGAAACCAACAAGGAUACAGAAGAAUUAAGUUAACAUGAGUAAGCUCAAAAUACUAUAGAGAAAAAUUUAUUUCCAAACAAAAAAACAUUACUUUUGAGUCCAUAUGGGACAUUCGCAAAAAUCCACUCAGUGUAAAUGCCUGUAUUCUAAGGAAAUUGACCUCAUGUUAAGCAUAUUCUCUGCUCAUGCAAUAAAAACACACAUCAACAGCACGAGAAAAAUUAUUAAAGAAAAAUGUCCAUAUAGAUAUAGAUAUAUGCUAUCAAGUAACCCUCAGGUUAAAAAGUAAAUUACAAGGGAAAUAACAAAAUAAAUACAAAAUUACAAAAUGAAUAAAAAUGAAAGCAUUACAUGUCAAAAUCAGUAGAACACCACAAAAUAAUUAGAAGAAAAGUUAAGGCCUUGACAACAUUUAUCAGAAAACAAGAAGGAAGUCAA